rnacentral:rRNA from 1 species
GAUGAACGCUAGCUACAGGCUUAACACAUGCAAGUCGAGGGGCAUCAGGAUGUAGCAAUACAUUGCUGGCGACCGGCGCACGGGUGAGUAACACGUAUCCAACCUGCCUUUUACUCGGGGAUAGGCUUUCGAAAGAAAGAUUAAUACCCGAUGGUAUAAUAUUUCCGCAUGGGAUUAUUAUUAAAGAAUUUCGGUAAAAGAUGGGGAUGCGUUCCAUUAGGCAGUUGGCGGGGUAACGGCCCACCAAACCUUCGAUGGAUAGGGGUUCUGAGAGGAAGGUCCCCCACAUUGGAACUGAGACACGGUCCAAACUCCUACGGGAGGCAGCAGUGAGGAAUAUUGGUCAAUGGGCGAAAGCCUGAACCAGCCAAGUAGCGUGAAGGAUGACUGCCCUAUGGGUUGUAAACUUCUUUUAUAGGGGAAUAAAAUGAGCCACGUGUGGCUUUUUGUAUGUACCCUAUGAAUAAGGAUCGGCUAACUCCGUG